rnacentral:snRNA from 1 species
AUACUUACCUGGCAGGGGAGACACCAUGAUCAAGAAGGUGGUUCACCCAGGGUGAGGCUCGGCCAUUGCGAAUUCACCAAAUUUGGGAAUCUCGACUGCAUAAUUUAUGGUAGUGGGGGACUGUCUUCGCGCUCUCCCCUG